GACGAACGCUGGCGGCGUGCCUAAUACAUGCAAGUAGAACGCUGAAGGAGGAGCUUGCUUCUCUGGAUGAGUUGCGAACGGGUGAGUAACGCGUAGGUAACCUGCCUUGUAGCGGGGGAUAACUAUUGGAAACGAUAGCUAAUACCGCAUAAUAGUAGAUGUUGCAUGACAUUUGCUUAAAAGGUGCAAUUGCAUCACUACCAGAUGGACCUGCGUUGUAUUAGCUAGUUGGUGAGGUAACGGCUCACCAAGGCGACGAUACAUAGCCGACCUGAGAGGGGGAUCGGCCACACUGGGACUGAGACACGGCCCAGACUCCUACGGGAGGCAGCAGUAGGGAAUCUUCGGCAAUGGACGGAAGUCUGACCGAGCAACGCCGCGUGAGUGAAGAAGGUUUUCGGAUCGUAAAGCUCUGUUGUAAGAGAAGAACGAGUGUGAGAGUGGAAAGUUCACACUGUGACGGUAGCUUACCAGAAAGGGACGGCUAACUACGUG
rnacentral:rRNA from 1 species